AGUGAACGCUGGCGGUAGACCUAACACAUGCAAGUCGAACGGCAGCACAGUAAGAGCUUGCUCUUACGGGUGGCGAGUGGCGGACGGGUGAGGAAUACAUCGGAAUCUACUUUUUCGUGGGGGAUAACGUAGGGAAACUUACGCUAAUACCGCAUACGACCUACGGGUGAAAGCAGGGGAUCUUCGGACCUUGCGCGAUUGAAUGAGCCGAUGUCGGGUUAGCUAGUUGGCGGGGUAAAGCCCACCAAGGCGACGAUCCGUAGCUGGUCUGGGAGGAUGAACAGCCACACUGGAACUGGGACACGGUCCAGACUCCUACGGGAGGCAGCAGUGGGGAAUAUUGGACAAUGGGCGCAAGCCUGAUCCAGCCAUACCGCGUGGGUGAAGAAGGCCUUCGGGUUGUAAAGCCCUUUUGUUGGGAAAGAAAAGCAGCAGGUUAAUACCCCGCUGUUCUGACGGUACCCAAAGAAUAAGCACCGGCUAACUUCGUG
rnacentral:rRNA from 1 species